rnacentral:rRNA from 1 species
UAAGACGAGCCUCACGAACGUUAUUCGGAAUUACUGGGCUUAAAGGGUGCGUAGGCGGCGCGGAAAGUAGGGUGUGAAAUCCCUCGGCUCAACCGAGGAACUGCGCUCUAAACUACCGUGCUCGAGGGAGAUAGAGGUAAGCGGAACUUAGGGUGGAGCGGUGAAAUGCGUUGAUAUCCUAAGGAACACCGGUGGCGAAAGCGGCUUACUGGAUCUCUUCUGACGCUGAGGCACGAAAGCUAGGGUAGCGAACGGGAUUAGAUACCCCGGUAGUCCUAGCCGUAAACGAUGAGCACUGGAUCGAAGGGUCCUCCAUAGCCUUUUGGUCGCAGCGAAAGUGUUAAGUGCUCCGCCUGGGGAGUAUGGUCGCAAGGCUG